CCUACGAGAGGCAGCAGUGAGGAAUAUUGGUCAAUGGGCGCGAGCCUGAACCAGCCAAGUAGCGUGAAGGAUGACUGCCCUACGGGUUGUAAACUUCUUUUAUAAAGGAAUAAAGUGAGGCACGUGUGCCUUUUUGUAUGUACUUUAUGAAUAAGGAUCGGCUAACUCCGUGCCAGCAGCCGGGGUAAUACGGAGGAUCCGAGCGUUAUCCGGAUUUAUUGGGUUUAAAGGGAGCGUAGAUGGGUUGUUAAGUCAGUUGUGAAAGUUUGCGGCUCAACCGUAAAAUUGCAGUUGAUACUGGCAGUCUUGAGUACGGUUGAGGUAGGCGGAAUUCGUGGUGUAGCGGUGAAAUGCUUAGAUAUCACGAAGAACUCCGAUUGCGAAGGCAGCUUACUAAACUGCCACUGACAUUGAAGCUCGAAAGUGUGGGUAUCAAACAGGAUUAGAUACCCGGGUAGUC
rnacentral:rRNA from 1 species